CAACUUUCAACAAUGGAUCUCUUGGCUCCAGCAUCGAUGAAGAACGCAGCGAAAUGCGAUAACUAGUGUGAAUUGCAGAUUUCAGUGAAUCAUCGAGUCUUUGAACGCACAUUGCGCCUCUUGGUAUUCCUCGAGGCAUGCCUAUUCGAGCGUC
rnacentral:rRNA from 1 species